UUUUUUAUACAUAAAAAGGAUAUUAAAUGCAAACAAAGUGUCUACUUGAAUGUUUCAAAUAAUGCUUGUAAAAAUAAAAUGUUAAAAUAU